rnacentral:rRNA from 1 species
GUCUUCUUGUUUAUAUAUGAAGUCUGGUCUGCCCACUGAGAGGUUGAAGGGCCGCGGUAUUUUGACCGUGCAAAGGUAGCAUAAUCAUUAGUCUUUUAAUUGGGGGCUGGUAUGAAGGGCUGCACGAGGUAUAAGCUGUCUUAUUUGAAUUGUUAUUAGAAUUUAAUUUUUAAGUUAAAAAGCUUAAAUUUUUUUAGAGGACGAGAAGACCCUAUAGAACUUUAUAUAAAUAUAAUGUGAAUGGAAUUUGGUUGUGUUUGUUUUUAUAUAUAUUUGUAUUUUGUUGGGGUGACAGGAAAAUAAAAUUAACUUUUUUUAUUGAAUUACAUUGAUUUAUGAUUAUUUGAUCCAUUUUUAGUGAUUAUAAGAUUAAGUUACCUUAGGGAUAACAGCGUAAUUUUCCUUUAGAGUUCUUAUCGACGGGAAAGCUUGCGACCUCGAUGUUGGAUUAAGAUUAAUUUUUGGUGUAGAAGCUGAAAUAUUAGGUCUGUUCGACCUUUAAAUUCUUACA